rnacentral:sRNA from 1 species
GCCGGGCAUGAUGGUGCAUGCCUGUAAUCCCAGCAGCUUGGGAGCUGAGUCAGGAGGAUCGCAAGUUCAAAGUCAGCCUUGGCAACUUAACAAGACCCUGUCUCAA